ACGGAAGGCAGCAGUGGGGAAUAUUGGACAAUGGGGGCAACCCUGAUCCAGCGACGCCGCGUGAGUGAAGAAGUAUUUCGGUAUGUAAAGCUCUAUCAGCAGGGAAGAAAAUGACGGUACCUGACUAAGAAGCCCCGGCUAACUACGUGCCAGCAGCCGCGGUAAUACGUAGGGGGCAAGCGUUAUCCGGAUUUACUGGGUGUAAAGGGAGCGUAGACGGCAACGUAAGUCUGAAGUGAAAGCCCGCGGCUUAACUGCGGGACUGCUUUGGAAACUAUGUAGCUAGAGUGUCGGAGAGGUAAGUGGAAUUCCCAGUGUAGCGGUGAAAUGCGUAGAUAUUGGGAGGAACACCAGAGGCGAAGGCGGCUUACUGGACGAUUACUGACGUUGAGGCUCGAAAGCGUGGGGAGCAAACAGGAUUAGAUACCCUGGUA
rnacentral:rRNA from 1 species